UGCGAUUUAUCCAUCAAUAGUUCAGGAGUUAGUAAAAUGUCAGACGCAUCACGUCAGAGCGGUGUUGUGAAGUGGUUCAACGAUGCCAAGGGCUUCGGUUUCAUCACCCCGGAAAGCGGCCCGGACCUGUUCGUGCACUUCCGUGCCAUCCAGGGCACCGGCUUCAAGUCGCUGCAGGAAGGCCAGAAGGUGACCUUCGUCGCCGUGCAGGGCCAGAAGGGCAUGCAGGCUGACCAGGUGCAGGCGGGCUAAUCCGUCUGCAACCGUAAGGUUGCCAAGGACGCCGGUCGCGCAAGCGACUGGCGUUUUU
rnacentral:misc_RNA from 1 species